UACGGGGGGGGGCAAGCGUUGUUCGGAAUUACUGGGCGUAAAGGCGCGUAGGCGGCCUGCUAAGUCAGACGUGAAAUCCCUCGGCUUAACCGGGGAACUGCGUCUGAUACUGGAUGGCUAGAGGUUGGGAGAGGGAUGCGGAAUUCCAGGUGUAGCGGUGAAAUGCGUAGAUAUCUGGAGGAACACCGGUGGCGAAGGCGGCAUCCUGGACCAAUUCUGACGCUGGAGGAGACGAA
rnacentral:rRNA from 1 species